rnacentral:rRNA from 1 species
CUUGAAGCAGUUUCGGCUGUGGAUGGUGGCGGACGGGUGAGUAACGCGUAAAUAACUUGCCCUUUAGACUGGGACAACUGUUGGAAACGACAGCUAAUACCGGAUAUUAUGAAACCUUGGCAUCAAGGGAUUAUGAAAGCUAUAUGCGCUAGAGGAGAGAUUUGCGUCCUAUUAGCUAGUUGGUGAGGUAAUGGCUCACCAAGGCGACGAUAGGUAGCCGGCCUGAGAGGGUGAACGGCCACAAGGGGACUGAGACACGGCCCUUACUCCUACGGGAGGCAGCAGUGGGGAAUAUUGGACAAUGGACCAAGAGUCUGAUCCAGCAAUUCUGUGUGUUUGAUGAAGGCCUUCGGGUUGUAAAGAACUUUAAGUAGGGAAGAAGAAAGUGACGGUACCUACAGAAUAAGCGACGGCUAAAUACGUGCCAGCAGCCGCGGUAAUACGUAUGUCGCAAGCGUUAUCCGGAAUUAUUGGGCAUAAAGCGCGUCUAGGCGGUUUAUUAAGUCUGAUGUGAAAAUGCGGGGCUCAACUCCGUAUUGCGUUGGAAACUGGUAGACUAGAGUAUUGGAGAGGUAGGCGGAACUACAAGUGUAGAGGUGAAAUUCGUAGAUAUUUGUAGGAAUGCCAAUUGGGAAGCCAGCUUACUGGACAAUACUGACGCUGAAGCGCGAAGCUAGGGGAGCAACAGGAUAGAACCCUGGUAGUCUAGCUGUAAC